AUUGAACGCUGGCGGCAUGCCUUACACAUGCAAGUCGAACGGCAGCGCGGGGCAACCUGGCGGCGAGUGGCGAACGGGUGAGUAACAUAUCGGAACAUACCCUAGAGUGGGGAUAACGUAGCGAAAGUUACGCUAAUACCGCAUACGCACUAAGGUGGAAAGUGGGGGAUCUUCGGACCUCAUGCUCAUGGAGUGGCCGAUAUCUGAUUAGCUAGUUGGUGAGGUAAAGGCUCACCAAGGCGACGAUCAGUAGCUGGUUUGAGAGAACGACCAGCCACACUGGAACUGAGACACGGUCCAGACUCCUACGGAGGCAGCAGUGGGGAAUUUUGGACAAUGGGGGCAACCCUGAUCCAGCAAUGCCGCGUGAGUGAAGAAGGCCUGG
rnacentral:rRNA from 1 species